GAUGAACGCUAGCGGCAGGCUUAAUACAUGCAAGUCGAGGGGCAGCGCAGUGUAGCAAUACAUGGGCGGCGACCGGCAAACGGGUGCGGAACACGUACGCGACCUUCCUUUAAGUGGGGGAUAGCCCAGGGAAACUUGGAUUAAUACCCCGUAAUAUUAUGAAGUGGCAUCACUUUAUACUUAUAGCUCCGGCGCUUAAAGAUGGGCGUGCGACUGAUUAGGUAGUUGGCGGGGUAACGGCCCACCAAGCCUGCGAUCAGUAACUGGUGUGAGAGCCCGACCAGUCACACGGGCACUGAGACACGGGCCCGACUCCUACGGGAGGCAGCAGUAAGGAAUAUUGGUCAAUGGACGCAAGUCUGAACCAGCCAUGCCGCGUGGAGGAUGAAGGUCCUCUGGAUUGUAAACUUCUUUUAUUUGGGAAGAAACCCACUGUUUCUACGGUGGUUGACGGUACCAGAUGAAUAAGCACCGGCUAACUCCGUGCCAGCAGCCGCGGUAA
rnacentral:rRNA from 1 species